rnacentral:lncRNA from 10 species
GGAAAGGUGCAUUCCAGGCAAGUUGUUUACUAUCUCUAGGAAUUGGCCAACUCUGGGAGGGGCAGUCCCUCCAGGGUCAGCAAGGUCCCAGACCACAGAGCAUCAGAGUACAGAAAAAAAGACAUGUUUAAUACACUGGGGACAUGGUGGGAGUGUGGCCUUUUAUACAGAGCUGGAAGAAGGAGCCAGAUGAGGCCUCAUUGUUUAGGUGACAUUGGAGCAGAGACCUGAGUGAGGUUCACUGUCUGUCUCUCUGUUGCCAUCCCUGUGUGGACCCCACGAAGGCAAGGGCCUGGUCUCCAAUGCUCACUGUAGCAUUGGAGGGGGUGUCGCCGGUACCCACCCUGAUGCCUAUCAAUGGGAUGGGACACCUGUGCCCCAGCAGCUGUGGUAUUCAGUGCCAAAGACCCCCACCUGUACUUCUUUGGAGACCGGCUGAUUAGAGCUGUCUUGCCAGGACACACCAGGGGCGUCGGGACAAGACCAGAACAAAGGUAAGUGGAAAGACAGAUCCUUUGCAAUUUUGAAAUGUUAUGCAUUGUGAAUUUUUUGGCAGU